rnacentral:rRNA from 1 species
UACGUAGGGUGCAAGCGUUGUCCGGAAUUAUUGGGCGUAAAGAGCUCGUAGGCGGUUUGUCGCGUCUGCUGUGAAAUCCCGAGGCUCAACCUCGGGCCUGCAGUGGGUACGGGCAGACUAGAGUGCGGUAGGGGAGAUUGGAAUUCCUGGUGUAGCGGUGGAAUGCGCAGAUAUCAGGAGGAACACCGGUGGCGAAGGCGGCUCUCUGGACCGAGACUGACGCUGAGGCGCGAAAGCGUGGGGAGCAAACAGG